CGGGGUGUGGCGCAGCCUGGUAGCGCAUCUGCUUUGGGAGCAGAGGGUCGGAGGUUCGAAUCCUCUCGCCCCGACCA
rnacentral:tRNA from 4 species